rnacentral:rRNA from 1 species
GAUGAACGCUGGCGGCGUGCCUAAUACAUGCAAGUCGAGCGAACAGACGAGGAGCUUGCUCCUCUGACGUUAGCGGCGGACGGGUGAGUAACACGUGGAUAACCUACCUAUAAGACUGGGAUAACUUCGGGAAACCGGGGCUAAUACCGGAUAAUAUAUUGAACCGCAUGGUUCAAUAGUGAAAGACGGUUUUGCUGUCACUUAUAGAUGGAUCCGCGCCGCAUUAGCUAGUUGGUAAGGUAACGGCUUACCAAGGCGACGAUGCGUAGCCGACCUGAGAGGGUGAUCGGCCACACUGGAACUGAGACACGGUCCAGACUCCUACGGGAGGCAGCAGUAGGGAAUCUUCCGCAAUGGGCGGAAGCCUGACGGAGCAACGCCGCGUGAGUGAUGAAGGUCUUCGGAUCGUAAAACUCUGUUAUUAGGGAAGAACAAAUGUGUAAGUAACUAUGCACGUCUUGACGGUACCUAAUCAGAAAGCCACGGCUAACUACGUG